rnacentral:tRNA from 1 species
UGCAUCGGCCGCCCGAGCCGCCCGCGUGGCAGGCGAGCAUUCUACCACUGAACCACCGAUGC